rnacentral:rRNA from 1 species
AGUGAACGCUGGCGGUAGGCCUAACACAUGCAAGUCGAACGGCAGCACAGUAAGAGCUUGCUCUUACGGGUGGCGAGUGGCGGACGGGUGAGGAAUACAUCGGAAUCUACUUUUUCGUGGGGGAUAACGUAGGGAAACUUACGCUAAUACCGCAUACGACCUACGGGUGAAAGCAGGGGAUCUUCGGACCUUGCGCGAUUGAAUGAGCCGAUGUCGGAUUAGCUAGUUGGCGGGGUAAAGGCCCACCAAGGCGACGAUCCGUAGCUGGUCUGAGAGGAUGAUCAGCCACACUGGAACUGAGACACGGUCCAGACUCCUGCGGGAGGCAGCAGUGGGGAAUAUUGGACAAUGGGCGCAAGCCUGAUCCAGCCAUACCGCGUGGGUGAAGAAGGCCUUCGGGUUGUAAAGCCCUUUUGUUGGGAAAGAAAAGCAGCAGGUUAAUACCCCGCUGUUCUGACGGUACCCAAAGAACAAGCACCGGCUAACUUCGUG